GACCCGUUCGCUGUCUGUGCUUGUAUGCUGUUGUCUAAAUGUUCUCGUGUUUACGCCCUUUCACGGCUGAAACACGGGUUCGAUUCCCGUAGGGGUCACCA
rnacentral:tRNA from 1 species